rnacentral:rRNA from 1 species
AUUGAACGCUGGCGGCAUGCCUUACACAUGCAAGUCGAACGGCAGCACGGGGGCAACCCUGGUGGCGAGUGGCGAACGGGUGAGUAAUGCAUCGGAACGUGUCCUCUUGUGGGGGAUAACCAGUCGAAAGAUUGGCUAAUACCGCAUGAGAUCGCAAGAUGAAAGCGGGGGACCGCAUGGCCUCGCGCGAGAGGAGCGGCCGAUGCCGGAGUAGCUAGUUGGUGGGGUAAAAGCCUACCAAGGCGACAAUCCGUAGCUGGUCUGAGAGGACGACCAGCCACACUGGGACUGAGACACGGCCCAGACUCCUACGGGAGGCAGCAGUGGGGAAUUUUGGACAAUGGGCGCAAGCCUGAUCCAGCCAUGCCGCGUGUGAAGAAGGCCUUCGGGUUGUAAGGCACUUUCGGACGGAACGAAAUCGCGCGGGCGAACAUCCCGCGUGGAUGACGGUACCGUAAGAAGAAGCACCGGCUAACUACGUGCCAGCCGCCGCGGUAA